rnacentral:rRNA from 1 species
AACGAACGCUGGCGGCAUGCCUAACACAUGCAAGUCGAACGAUGCCUUCGGGCAUAGUGGCGCACGGGUGCGUAACGCGUGGGAAUCCGCCCUUCGGUUCGGAAUAACUCAGGGAAACUUGAGCUAAUACCGGAUAAUGACGUAAGUCCAAAGAUUUAUCGCCGAAGGAUGAGCCCGCGUAGGAUUAGGUAGUUGGUGGGGUAAUGGCCCACCAAGCCGACGAUCCUUAGCUGGUCUGAGAGGAUGAUCAGCCACACUGGGACUGAGACACGGCCCAGACUCCUACGGGAGGCAGCAGUGGGGAAUAUUGGACAAUGGGCGAAAGCCUGAUCCAGCAAUGCCGCGUGAGUGAUGGAGGCCUUAGGGUUGUAAAGCUCUUUUACCAGGGAUGAUAAUGACAGUACCUGGAGAAUAAGCUCCGGCUAACUCCGUGCCAGCCGCCGCGGUAACAC